CUGACUGGAAAAAAGAUCCCUUGUUUUUUUUUCCAUUAAAGACAACCCCCGGUUGUGACAGAACUCCCCACCCCACCCCGAACGGACCCGUUAUGGCCUCCGACCGUUAUGGUUUCAAAGCGGGCGAACCCUCUGGAAGGUUCGCGAGCCUCGCACCGUUUCCGAGAAGUGCUAUGAUCCCCGUGGCGAGGUCCCAAUACGUUCUGGAAACUCAAGUUUGACUUGACAGGUGUUACAGGAAAUCUCUGGCCAGAUUAAAUGGUCAUACAAGAAACAAGGUCUCGAAGAGUGCGUUUCAAAUUUAUGAUUAGUCCUUUCGGCCUGACCAUUCGUUUGCGGGUGAAAACCGGAGGAAAGGCUGGAAGUAGCUCCGGCGCAGGCAAGAGGAAGGAGGUGUGAGUCCGCUGGCCGGUCACUGGAACUUCCAUCGCCGCCAAACACAAUUCAGAAAGAUUUGACGGAUGUAAUGAAAGGCUUCAUCUUCUUCUUAAGCCCAUCACCCCUACUGGCUGCCAAUAGAAGCUCGCCAGAGUCUUCUCUCCCGGGUUGCAGAGAUACAGCAUGGAAUAGGCCCUUCCGGGUUCUUGAGCCAAACAGCCCAGCAAUCCCUGACGACUCCAAUUUCAAUCCUAUCCUAAUCAUGGGACAAUUUACAAUAACCAAGACUGUGGAAGGAAAUCGGAGAUCCUGGAGAAAGCCCACACAUUCCAAGGGGAGGACAUACAGAGACUCCUUACAGAAUUGAACUCUGAACUGCGGCACACCCAGAGCCAUAAAGGUCAGACUUACCGCUACGCUACUGUGGCACGCCAAUAAUUGUCUACUUGUAUUUUAUAUAAUUACGGAUAUUUCCACCACUAGGACAUUAUAUAUGUAUAUGAAAGUUUAAUAAAACCCUAGUGGUUAUAUUGGUAUAAUUCUGGAAAGCCCUGAAAGACUCUUUGUUCUGUAUUAUUUGAAUAAUGGCUUUCUAAUUGAUUAACUCUUAUCUACAAAUUUGAAUGGAAUUUUUCCUUAUCUAUGGGUAUAAAAUAGCUAAGCACAAACCAGCUCUAUUUUAGUCUCAAAUUCUUGAUCUUAGCUUUCCCUGCAAUAUACCCACAGACUUGGCUCCCUGUUUUAUCAAAGCUUAAUGAAAUAAUUGCAAAGCAACAAGUUUUGUGCCUCUUUCCUGACUUCUGAAUGAACCUUGGGUUUAAUCAUCAGGAUCCAAGUAGACCACUGGCAUCCUUAGCCAUGUUUAUCAUUUAAGAGGUUGGAACAAGCCAAGAGGUAGCACAGUAGCCCAAUGGCUUGUGUACCGUUUUACAGUGCUCGCACUCACCAAGCAGGGUUCAAAGCCCAACACUGUCUGCAUUCUUCCCACGACCACACGGGUUUCCUCCGAGUGCUCUCACAUUCCAAAGAGACGUACAAGUUAAGGUCAGUAAGUAUUGGGCAUGUUAUGUUUGUGCAGCAAUGUGGAAAGGAUGGGUUGUCAUUGCAGAGAGGAGGUUCACGAGGAUGAUUCCAGGAAUGAAGGGGUUAACAUGAGGAGUGUUUGGCAGCUUUGGGCCUGUUCUCACUGGAAUUCAGAAGAAUGUGGGGGAAUCUCAUUGAAGCCUACUAAAUGUUGAAAGGAUAAGAUAGGGUGGAUGAGGAGAGGAUGUUUUCUCUGGUGGGAGUAUCCAGAACUGGAGGGCACAGCCUCAAAAUUGAGGGGUUGUGGCGACCCACUUCCCAGCGCACUCGAACCAGCUCACAAAGCGGUGCGCGCCAAGCCUGCUUCACCAGCAAGGGGAAAAGCCCGCACGUGGGAUGGGACUGUGAAUACGCGCCCCCUACAGCAUUCCUGCCUGGGGAGGGCGGGAUCAGGAAGGCUUUAAAGCGAGGCUGCGAAGUUUGAAUAAAUCUCUUUUGCAACUGCAGCUCACCAACUCCGUGUCGUUAUUUUAGCGCUGCGUGUAGC